CUUUUCUGGUCCUGAAGCUCACCUCAGGGGGGACAACAGGAAUAUUGGAAGUAAGCUGAGACAUUUGGAUGAACUGAAGGGGUCUGCUGGCGCUAUAACUGGCCCAUGGGGAUAACUGAGGCCAUGCAGAAGUCAUCUAGCUGCAUCUUAGUGGAAAGAAUUUCCCACUUAGAGCUUAUUCUGGAGUUGCAUUUGUAGCUCUGCAGGCAGCUUCUUGAACAUGUUCCCUUGUCUGUUACAAAUGUAUAUCUUGUCCAGGCAGCUUCUGGAAGGUACUGUAUUUAAAAUGUAUCCCCUAGUUGCACUCAUUGAUAUAUUCUAUCUGUAUCUGUCACGUUCCUAGAAGUUUGUAACAGUAUGGUUGUUAAGAUUCAUACUCUGGGCAAUAAAUUGAAGUACUUUUGUUUAAAAGAAAAUUAAAGACACUGGCUCAGAUUCUGAAAGUGUUUAUAACUGGGAAUUACCCCAGUCAAUAGAACUUGUCAUUUAUAGAAAGCUUGUGUUUGUAAAUGUCUGUGGGGCAAGUGCCUUUGCGUGUCAACUACAAUAAGCUGCUUGUGAAUCUUUUGGCAUGCACUGAAGUUGUUUUCUCUGCUUGUUGGCAGAUGUUGAUGAAUUAACAACUAUAAAACGAGAACUGAAUUACAGAAUUUCUGUUCAAUCGGCAAAGUUGCUCCGUCUCCUGAAGCAGAAGGACAGGCUUGUACAAAAGGUCCAGAAGAACUGCGACAUUGUCACAGCUUGUUUACAGGCAGUUUCCCAGAAACGCUCAUGACAGUUACAGAAAUGUUCAGGAAAGUGGUGGAUUCCUCCAUGUUGGAUGCUUUUAAGAUUUGGCUGGACAGGAUGCUGGACCAUUUUGCCUAGACCAUGCUUUUGUUGAGAAAAGUUGAUGAUCCCUGAGGUCCCUUCCAAGCUGAUAUUCUGAGAUUUGGUGAGUGAUUUCACCCUGGAUCAGAUGUCUUGCAACAUGGGACAAGUACUGAUGU
rnacentral:lncRNA from 1 species